GACGAACGCUGGCGGCGUGCCUAAUACAUGCAAGUCGAACGCAGUGGGGACGGGUGAGUAACACGUGGGUAACCUCCCAUCAGAGGGGAUAACCCUUGGAAACAGGUGCUAAACCGAUACUGAUGGAUGAACCCGCGGUGCAGUAGCUAGUUGGUGAGGUAACGGCCCACCAAGGCCACGAUGCAUAGCCGCCCUGGGAGGGUGAUCGGCCACAAUGGGACUGGGACACGGCCCAGACUCCUACGGGAGGCAGCAGUAGGGAAUCUUCGGCAAUUGACGGAAGUCUGACCGAGCAACGCCGCGGGAUAUAAGAAGGUUUUCGGAUCGUAAAACUCUGUUGUUAGAGAAGCGGUAUCUAACCAGAAAGCCACGGCUAACUACGUGCCAGCAGCCGCGGUAAUUC
rnacentral:rRNA from 1 species